UACAGAGGUGCCGAGCGUUAGGCGGAAUCACUGGGCUUAAAGCGUGUGUAGGCGGAUUUUUAAGUACCUUGUGAAAUCCCAUGGCUUAACCAUGGAACUGCUGGGUAUACUGGAUAUCUUGAGCCAACUAGGGGCUACCGGAACAAAUGGUGGAGCGGUGAAAUGCGUAGAUAUCAUUUGGAACGCCAAUGGUGAAAACAGGUAGCUGGGGUUGUGCUGACGCUGAGACACGAAAGCCAGGGGAGCGAACGGGG
rnacentral:rRNA from 1 species